rnacentral:lncRNA from 1 species
GUGAAAACAAACUGGAGAAUUUAGAAUGCCAGCUGCUUCCUGAUGACAAGUCAAAAUUAAUCAGGCUGCUUGACCACUACUGGGAUUGCUAACAGACAAGUUAGUUUCAACAACCUUGUUUAUUCAAGAGGUGCAAAACGUUUUUCAAAACUAGAAAUGUGUAUUAUAUAUUCUUCUUAGUGAUAUCAAGAUAAGG